GGUGGCCCAGUGGUAGAGCACUUGCCUUGCAUGUAUGAGGCCCUGGGUUCGAUUCCCCAGCACCA
rnacentral:tRNA from 1 species